rnacentral:rRNA from 1 species
ACGAACGCUGGCGGCGUGCUUAACCCCUGCCAGUCGCACGGAAAGGCCCUGCUUUUGUGGGGUGCUCGCGUGGCGAACGGGUGAGUAACACGUGAGUAACCUGCCCUUGACUUUGGGAUAACUUCAGGAAACUGGGGCUAAUACCGGAUAGGAGCUCCUGCUGCAUGGUGGGGGUUGGAAAGUUUCGGCGGUUGGGGUUGGACUCGCGGCUUAUCCGCUUGUUGGUGGGGUAGUGGCUUACCAAGGCCUUGACGGGUAGCCGGCCUGAGAGGGUGACCGGCAACCUUGGUACUGAGCUACGGCCCAGACUCCUACGGGAGGCAGCGGUGGCAGAUAUUGCACAAUGGGCCGCAGCCUGAUGCAGCAACGCCGCGUGCGGGCUCACGGCCUUGGGCUUGUCAACCGCGUUCGCAUGUGACGAAGCCUGAGUGACGGUAACGUGUAAAGAAGCCCCGGCUAACUACGUG